CCGCAGGGAAAUGGAAUCAUGGUGAGGAAGCGCCCCCUUCUGGCCAGAGAGGGAGCUGUCGGCCACGUUUUCCAGCUCUGGGAUGGAGACUGGCCCAGAGGCUGCUACUUUUUCUGUAGGACAGUUAAGGAAUCCAGUUUCUCCUGAGAAAGAGGGGAGACCACCCCUGAAAUCACCCUUCACAGGAUCCUUUUGACCGGCAGCCAUCUUAGGAACAAUGAGUUUCUCUCUCGAGAUCUUGUUUUUUGGUCAGAGAGCAUUUUUGGAGAUCUCCCUCCUGCCUGUCUGUGUCAUCACCCUCCACCCAGGUCAGCAACAAAAUGCUCAGAGACCUGCAUCCCACCCAGGGCUCUCACCUGCUAUACCAGACUCCCAGAUGAGGCUGGUUUCUGGGGUUUGUGCCCCUCCCUCCAUAUUCACCGUUCUGUCCACUGCAGGAUGAUCACAUGAGGCUGCUUCAGUGUCCAUGGAGGAAACACAAAGCAUGAAAUUUCUGAUUCUUCCCACUCAGGCCCCCAGUCGCCAUAUGUGACCCAUCACCCCAUCUCUGGGCAUGAGGUCAACCUGAGGUGCUGCGCCCUGGGUUUCUACCCUGCGGACAUCACCCUGGCCUGGCAGGGAGAUGAAGAGGACAUGGCCCCAGGAAAUGGAGCUUGUGAACAUCAGGCCAGGGAGGGGGGAUGGAAACUACCAGAAGUGGGCAGCUGUGGAGGUGUCUUCUGGAGAGAAGCAGAGAUACACAUGCCAUGUGCAGCAUGAGGGGCUGAUUGCACCCCGAGUCCUGAGAAGGAGUAAGGAGGGAGAUGUGAGCACACGGCUGACUCAGGGGCAUCAGAAGGAUGCCCUUCUCCCUUCUGGAGACCUUCAGAGGGUCAGACUGAGGCCUCAGGUUCAGGGUCUGACCUUCUCUUCCCUUUCAGUUUCCCCUCCUCAGUUCUCCAUCCUUGCUGUCGUCCUCAUUUCUGGCUUGGUUUUCUUUGUUGGUGUGCUCAUUGGACACAAGGUGGCUUCAUGUAUGAGGGGGUAAAAGAAGUUCUCAGGUAGGGAAGGGAGUGGGGAGAUCUUGUCCACUGGGGGCUUUCAUGUCCCAGGGAGAACUUGCCCUGCCUGGUUAAUGGGAAGUACCAUCCACACACGUGUGUUGCCCAGAGGGUAUUUGGUUCAGUCCCCUCUCAUCUCCUUUCUUCAUUUUUCCCAGUCCUGACCUGGGUCUUUACUCACAGUUCUGGAAACUUCCCUGUGGUGCAGGAUUAGAUGAUUCCUUUAGCCUUCUGACCUGACUCCUCCCUGGUCUCGCAUGAUACUUCUUCCCACAGGAGGACAAGGAGGAAGCUACACUCAGGCUGCAACCAUAGUCCCAGUGCUCUGAAGUGUAUCUCAGACCUUAAAGGGUAUUAGACAGCCUUCCGUAGGCCUGAGUGUUACAGGAUUUCUUUUCGCCCAUAUUGUGUGGCUUUAUGAUCCCCUGGUUUAAACCUUCACACCUGCAAGAACGGCCCAUAUCCAAAAGACCAGAAACAACAAGUGCUGGCAAGGAUGAAAAAAGGGGACAGUCGUGCACUGUUUUUGGAUAAAGACGGAGCCAGCCCUUAUGGAAACAGUACUGAGGUUUCUUAAAGAGUGAAUGUGGUUCUGCCAUUGGACCCAGCAAUUCUACACUGAGGAUCUACUCACAGAGGAUAAAUACUCUCCUGUGAAGGGACCUGCACUCCUGUCACCACUGCAGCACUAUUUACAGUAGCCAAGCUAUGGGAACCACCUGAAUGCCCCAGACAGCCGCCCUCUCUGUAGUGUCUCUACUCAGCAGUGUUUGAGCAGCCCCAGGAGUCCCUGCACCUCCUGCCUCUGACCUUGAGGGAAACCAGCCCCUCAGCCUGCUUGACAGUGAGGAGGUAAAGGCAAAGUCCUGAGGGUCAGGACCAAUGUGCUAUCCAUAGAAAAGAGAGGUUCCAGGUUACCGCCCUGCCCAAGGAAAGGUGGGGCUGAGCAGGGACGAGAAGCUAAGGAAGAGGAGGAAGACGUGGAGUGAGAUGAGGAAAGGACUGGAGGAGGCGCAUGGAGCAGAGAGACAGGUGAAGAAGAAACCACACUUGCUUCUCACUUGGACUUGUGCCAGGGAGCUGGGGACUUGGAAAGAGACACGUGAAAGACAAAAACGUGAAUGAGAGACCCAUCGGGAGGCUGACCCUUUCCCAUGGGUCUCUACCAGUAGGUGCCUUAGCCUUGUGGCAGGCCUUUGGGCCCCAGUGGGCCUGCUUUGUGCCAAGCCUGUUUGGCUGGGCAUUUACCCAUGAGGGGACGGGUAACUUUGGGUGCUUCACUUGGGAA